GCGGCGGGGAGGCCGGGGCUGGCCAGCAGUGCCCUUUUGUCCAUGGAGGCUGCAGCGGCGGCGGCGACGACAGCCGCCCCCUCCCCACCCCCGGCGGUCACCAGUCGGAGUUUCCAAGUCUCUCCUCCUUCUCUCCUCCCCGCCCGGCGCCUCCGAGCCCCUUCUCUCUCUUUUCUUUUUUAUUUUUCCGCACCGCACGGGCCCCGGGGGCCAAAAAUAAUCGGGGCUCUGGAGAGAGGAGGGUCCCGGCCGCACGGAUACCGGGCCCCGAGGGGGGAUGGAGGCGUCGGGGGCGGCCGAUGCAACGGAUUGCGAGGCGGCGGCGGCAGCCCGGGUGCUGCGGCCGGCAGCUGAAAAAUGGCUCCAGGAAGCUGCUGCUGACAAUGAAUGAAGGGAUACGGUUUACGCGCCAAGGUCCUCCCGCGAAACUCAGAUUUCCCGCCGGCUUUUCAAACCAUAUUUGCGUAUCCCCGCCCCCCAACCCGCCGAGGACCGUUCCCGCAGCCCAUUGGGCCGCUGGCUCCGGACUUACGGCCCAAUCGCGGCGCGGGGCCGCGGCCUGCUGGUUUCCAUUGGCUACCGUGCAUCACGGUUACCGGGGCGACAGGGGCUUCAUUUGCAUAGGCCUCCUUGAUUGGCUGGGCGAGAGCAGGUUUUUUUUUUUUUUUUUAGGAGGCGGGGCAAAGCCCUUCCUUCUCUCCCACGGAAGACCACGCCUCGUCCAGGCCCCGCCCGGUCCCCGCCCGCGCGCGGGGCGGGCGCUGCUGACCUGGGCAGGCGCUCGGCGCCCCGCAGACUCAGUGCGCAUCUAGUCCCGAGCGCAAGUUUCGCUUUUAGAAAUUGUCAAGGUGACCAAGGGGACACUUGCGGGAACUCUCUUUCCUUUGGCCAGUCAGUGUGAUAGAUGCACACCAGCUGGAGAUUCUGCCAGAUAAUGUUGCAAAGGCAAGUUGGACCGUGCGGACCAUGCCUGGCAGAAGAGAAGAAAAUGUAGAGGAGGUAUGAGAGCAGAGGCGGAGAAUGAAGUGUUGUGUCCACAAGCCAAGGCACACCAAGGAUUGCCAGUUACCAGAAGCUGCGAGACAGACAUGGAGCAGCUCCAUGGAGGAAACAUCCCUACUGCCAUCUUGAUUUCAGACUUCUGGCCUCCAGAACUGGGAGAGAAUAAAUUUCUGUUGUUUUAAGCUA